rnacentral:rRNA from 1 species
AGCUCCAAUAGCGUAUAUUAAAGUUGUUGCGGUUAAAAAGCUCGUAGUUGGAGUUCUGCCAGGUGACGCUCGUCCGCCCAAGUGGUGUGUACAGGGCGUGCAUCUGGCCCUUUCAAGGGGAACGUGUUGCACUUUAUUGUGUGGCGCGAGAUCCUUGACUUUUACUUUGAGGAAAUUAGAGUGUUUCAAGCAGGCACACGCCUUGAAUACAUUAGCAUGGAAUAAUAAUCUAGGACCCCGGUUCUAUUUUGUUGGUUUCUAGAGCUGAGGUAAUGAUUAAUAGGGAUAGUUGGGGGCAUUCGUAUUUAACUGUCAGAGGUGAAAUUCUUGGAUUUGUUAAAGACGGACUACUGUCGAAAGCAUUUGCCAAGGAUGUUUUCA